rfam:Triticum urartu cultivar G1812 contig321009, whole genome shotgun sequence.
GCUCAGUUGGUAGAGUACAAAGCUCUUAACCUUGUGGACGUGGGUUCAAGCCCCAU